rnacentral:rRNA from 1 species
UCAGGCCUAACACAUGCAAGUCGAACGGCAGCACGGACUUCGGUCUGGUGGCGAGUGGCGAACGGGUGAGUAAUACAUCGGAACGUGCCCAGUCGUGGGGGAUAACGUAGCGAAAGCUACGCUAAUACCGCAUACGGUCUAAGGAUGAAAGCGGGGGAUCGCAAGACCUCGCGCGAUUGGAGCGGCCGAUGGCAGAUUAGGUAGUUGGUAGGGUAAAGGCCUACCAAGCCGACGAUCUGUAGCUGGUCUGAGAGGACGACCAGCCACACUGGAACUGAGACACGGUCCAGACUCCUACGGGAGGCAGCAGUGGGGAAUUUUGGACAAUGGGCGCAAGCCUGAUCGAGCCAUUCCGCGUGCAGGAUGAAGGCCCUCGGGUUGUAAAGUAAUGUUGUACGGAACGAAAAGGCUCUGGUUAAUACCUGGGGCUCAUGACGUA